UUUUAUGUCAUUGUACACAACCCCUCAAUAGAAAUCUUGAAGCAAUUACCAGUUACAAAUUAAUCAAUUCAUUGCGAUUCAAUUCAAUUCUUUCAUUCUUUUACUUUGUCUUUUAAGUUUCCCCUCAGUUUCCACUCACCCCUUUUAACAUCUGCGCAAUGGAAAUCAAAAACCCAUAAAUCGGUCCACAUAUCAGAUGUGGGUGUAAAAUGCAUACCAAGUGCUUGAUGGAAUGCUUAAACCUUCAACUCAUUCACCAAAACGAAGACCAGAAGAUUAUGAAGACGUCAAAGACCACCAAUCACCAAUUGAAGCCAAGCUAAUGCACGUAAAACAUAAGGUCACGGGUAGGCACGUUAUCGUGUCAUGGUUCAAAUGGUUAUUCGUUUACAGUUCACAGGUAUGGGUUAGUCGAUCACGGGUCAAGUAGCUAAAUUAUCCAGGGGUAAAUGGGUCUUUUGACCAUGUAAAUGGAGGUGACUUCGUGAGAUUGUUGAAGCCUUCUGCAACAAGUUUUGACCAAGUUAUGUGGACGUGAUACAAAUCUUGAAGAAUCAUGUACAAAUGAAGCAAGCCAUUUUAGAGGGGGGAAACUUGGACAUUGUCCAAAGUUUUAAGACACUUUGAGGGCAAUCUAGACAUUUCAUCCAUAGAAUUCAUGCCCACUUAUGUCUUCCAUUAAUUGAAUUAAAUUAAGGAAUUAAAUAAAAAUUUUAUAAUAA